AAGACUAUAGACCUGCGGAGUACCUGCGGAGGGAUCAUUAACAAAUCAGCAUAGGGCCGCGAGGCCCUAUAUACACCCCAAGCCUGUGAAGGGUAUUGCCUGGACCGGCUUUGGUUGCAGCCUUCGGGCUGCAGGUUCGAUUAUCGUAAGAUGGUCAAACCACAUAGACGCUUGUAUUGUUUGACAGAGUUUAGUUGCCUUUAAAAGAUACAACUUUCAACAAUGGAUCUCUAGAUCGGA
rnacentral:misc_RNA from 1 species